CUCUUUCACAGAUGAGCCCUGUAUACACAUCAAUCAAAUAUUGGUGGACACAUAGAGAUAGAACAACUGUUCUGUUAUCUACGGAUGGCCAUUAGUGGCCAUUACCACUGAUGAUGACGAAGAUGAUGAAGUAGACCUAUUGUGCUGUUUCAGAGCUUGCAUAUGCGUCUGCUGGUUAGUUUUCAAGAGUUGUUUACACUGUAAUCAGACCUGCAGCAGAGUUGUACAAGUAGUGGGACCCAACUCACUGGAUGAGAGUCUACUGUACAGCAUCUCCACCCAGACUUUAACAACAAAGACAAAGGGAAGGCCAGCUUCUUAUUCAUCAACACAUUCAGAUAGACGUUCAUUAUUGGGAAAGAAACCAGAGAGGGAGAGAGAGAGAGAGAGGAUAGUUCCACCUGCUUGGCCUAUCAUUUUAAAGGUUUAGUGGCUGCCCUUGUGCCCGCCGUCUGGGCCUGAGGUGGGGGUGUGGGAGGAUCGAUAGCAUGGCAGCUCCACUGUCAGACAGAGGUGAAGUUAAGCCAGGACAGAGAGAAGAGGAGAGAUAGAAGAGGCUCCUAAAGAUAUCUGAGUAGGUAUUAUCCAUGACACCUAGGCUCUGAAGCUUUCAAC
rnacentral:lncRNA from 1 species